rnacentral:rRNA from 1 species
AUUGAACGCUGGCGGCAGGCUUAACACAUGCAAGUCGAGCGGAGAUGAGGUGCUUGCACCUUAUCUUAGCGGCGGACGGGUGAGUAAUGCUUAGGAAUCUGCCUAUUAGUGGGGGACAACAUUCCGAAAGGAAUGCUAAUACCGCAUACGCCCUACGGGGGAAAGCAGGGGAUCUUCGGACCUUGCGCUAAUAGAUGAGCCUAAGUCGGAUUAGCUAGUUGGUGGGGUAAAGGCCUACCAAGGCGACGAUCUGUAGCGGGUCUGAGAGGAUGAUCCGCCAAACUGGGACUGAGACACGGCCCAGACUCCUACGGGAGGCAGCAGUGGGGAAUAUUGGACAAUGGGCGGAAGCCUGAUCCAGCCAUGCCGCGUGUGUGAAGAAGGCCUUUUGGUUGUAAAGCACUUUAAGCGAGGAGGAGGCUACCUGGAUUAAUACUCUAGGAUAGUGGACGUUACUCGCAGAAUAAGCACCGGCUAACCCUGUGCCAGCCGCCGCCGUAAGAC